rnacentral:rRNA from 1 species
UACGUAGGGUGCAAGCGUUGUCCGGAAUUAUUGGGCGUAAAGAGCUCGUAGGCGGUCUGUUGCGUCGGCUGUGAAAACCCGGGGCUCAACCCCGGGCCUGCAGCCGAUACGGGCAGACUAGAGUUCGGCAGGGGAGACUGGAAUUCCUGGUGUAGCGGUGGAAUGCGCAGAUAUCAGGAGGAACACCGAUGGCGAAGGCAGGUCACUGGGCCGCAACUGACGCUGAGGAGCGAAAGCAUGGGGAGCGAACAGG